rnacentral:rRNA from 1 species
UACGUAGGGCGCAAGCGUUAUCCGGAAUUAUUGGGCGUAAAGAGCUCGUAGGCGGUUUGUCGCGUCUGCCGUGAAAACCCGGAGCUCAACUCCGGGCCUGCAGUCGAUACGGGCGGACUCGAGUUCGGCAGGGGAGACUGGAAUUCCUGGUGUAGCGGUGAAAUGCGUAGAUAUCUGGAGGAAUACCGGUGGCGAAGGCGGCAUCCUGGACCGGCAUUGACGCUGAGGAGCGAAAGCCAGGGGAGCAAACGGG